UGUGGAGACUAAAGUCAAAGGUUUGAUCCCUAAUCAGGGCAGACAGCUUCACUGUUGGGUGACUGAAAGCACUUUAUCAUUAUGCUUCCUCAAGAUCGAGGGGCUUCAGGACAGUGAACAUAUUCUCACUCUACCACUCUAUUGCCCAGGCUGGAGUACAGUGGCAUGAUCUCAGCACUGCAACCUCUGCCUCCCGGGUUUAAGCAAUUCUCCUGCCUCAGCCUCGCAAGCAGCUAGGUGGGGCUACAGGCUGGAGCACAAUGGCGCGAUCUUGGUUCACUGCAGCCUCCAUCUCCUGGGUUCAAGGGAUUCUCCUGGCUCAGCCUCCCGAGUAGUUGGAAUUACAGCCCCAGAUUGAGGAGAUCACAUCCCAACCAGGGCCUGCACACAGGGCUUCAAGGAAGUGACCAGCAGCAAAGUGACCGAGGUGCACAGCGAAGCCAGAAUCAAUGCAGAAGAUUGGGAGACAUCUACUUUCAGCUUCCAAGUAACCACCUUAGUGGGGGUGAAAGAGAGAAACAUCUGCUUUCUCCCUAUGUCCUAGAUAAAGGGGAGACGGGUGCUAGUUCAUAGGUUACAUUAAGUUUUCUUCUUAAAGAGGUGUUUGCAUUGUUUUGAAAUGUUUGAAAACUCUCUAAAUUGAAUGAAUUCAUAAGUUCCUUCCUGCUAUAAGUGGCCUAUUUCAGCCCUAAUCCUCCUGGCCUUGGGAAGUUUGGCAGCACCAAUCACUUCUUCUCUCCAGCUUCUAACCGGUUGGAGAAACGUGCACAAGGAACCUGAAGAUGAUAAAAGGACAGUGCCAGCUUUACUACCAGUAAAGCUGAAUGGGGAAGAAAAUAAAUUCCCACCCCCUUGGAAAGGCCUGGUUGCCCUAUAGCCAUAUCAAUAAGUGGCACUCAGAACCAGUUUGGAACCUGGUCAAGUCAGCAACAACAAUUUGCUUCGGUGAAGAGCUUUUACAAGUUGUUUACAAUCAGCAUUAGCUGCUUACUUCUGAAAGCCAGUCAAUCACAGACUCACCUCAAUAAAUACACUAUAGUGACAACCAAUUAGCAAUAGCCUCAUCUGUGUACCCACACCUCUGCAGAUGAUGUUGAAGCUCUUAAGCCUCUGCAACUUCGCCAAUCACUGAACUUCACACUUCCGUGAGAUUCUAUAUAAAUUAGCGGUCUGCUCCAAGAGACUGUACUUCCUUUACUAUGCUUAACAAUCCAUUCAAUUUUGUCUUUUUUAUUUUUAGUAUGGGAUGAUAGUCUCAUCAUACUUUGAUACCCUGAACCUCAGAAUCUGCAUGAAUAUAACCUCUCCAACCAAAUCCAGGUAGAGAAGUUUAAUUGGCUAACUAAACUUCAUAUUUUAACUACAUAGAAGAGGCCAAGAGGGCCCUGGCAUCCUCUUAGUGAUAUGAACAGCUGGUAGGGGAAGAGAGAGAAUAAGAGGAAUCCUGGUUUUCACUGUCCAAGGAGUGGGAGGUCCACUGGACUCUCUCUCUCUCUCCAUCUUACCAGCAUGUUAGUUACUUCUCAGGGGAGGGAGGAUGAGGAAGAGGAAAGAUGAGGGGAUGGAGAGAGGAGGUGGAAAUAAUAUUUCAAAAUGGUUUACUAUGGUGUGAAUGUUUGCAUUUCCCCAAAAUUCAUACGUUAAAAUCCUAACCCCAAAGGUAUAAUAUUUAAGAGGUGGGGCCUGUGGGAGGAAAGUACAUUAUGAGGGUGGAGCCUUUGUGAUUGGGAUUAAUGUCCUUAUAGAAGAGACCCCAGAAAGCUAUAUAUCCCCUUCCACAGCGUGAAGACACAGCAAGAAGACAUCAUCUAUGAAGCAGAAAGCCCUUGCCAAAACCCAAAUCUGCAAGUGUCUUGAUCUUGGACUUCUUAGCCUCUAGUUGUGUAAGAAACAAACUUCUGUUGUUUAUAAGCUACCCAGUUCAUGGUACUUUGUUAUAGCAGUCCAUAUGGACAAAGAUAAUAUUCCUUCCAGAGAUUGGAGCCAAAUCUCCUCAUAGAAACAGGAGAAAGAGACAAUAAGGGCUUCCCGUAAACAUUCUUUAUCCUAACAGUUUUGCAAAUUGAUUGGGGAGAGAAGGUGUAAAUACUUAAAGCAAUUGAUAUGGUUUGGCUCUGUCUCCCCACCCAAAUCUCAUCUCAAACUGUAAUUCCCACGUGUUGAAGUUGGGGCCUGGUGGGAAGUGAUUAGAUCAUGGGGGUGGUUUCUAAUUGUUUAGUACCAUCUCCCUAGUGAUGGCUCAUGAGUGAGUUCUCACGAGAUCUGAUGGUUUAAAAGUGUGUGGCACCUCCCACUUUGCACUCUCUCUCCUGUGCCAUGUAAGGCAUGUCUUGCUUCCCCUUUGACUUCCGCCAUGAUUGUAAGUUUCCUGAGGCCUCCCCAGCCAGGUGGAACUGUGAGUCAAUUAGACCUCUUUUCUUUAUAAGUUACCCAGUCUCAGGUAGUUCUGUAUAGUAGUGUGAAAAUGGACUAAUACAGCAAUUAAGAAACACUGAUAGGGCAAAAUAUUCUGAGAAUAAGACUAUUGGUAAUAAUGUGAAGGAUUCUUAGAAAACAUGGAAUUUGAGAUGAUCUUGGAAAGAUGAAUUAAAUUCAUCAAAAAUCACCCGGUGAUUAUGAAGCACCACGGUGUCCAGCAUUGAGUCCUGAGCUAUAUAAACAAGCAGUCACAAUUUCUACCCUCAAGAAGCUCACAGUCUGAGUCUUCUGGUUCUCAAAUCUAGUUAUACUUUAGAAUCACCUGAGAAGCUUUUUUUAAAAAUGCCCAUAAUCCUGAUUUAAUUGGUCUGAGUGAGUCCUGGCCAUCAGUAUCUUUUAAAGCCUCAGGUGUAGGAAAAGAGUUCUUGAAGAGACAAAACAAAAGAUAAUCAUAAAAGAAAAAAAUGUUUAACUUAAUUAAAAUAAGGCUAUUAAAAGACAUCACCAGGAAAGUGAAAAGACAAGCCACAGACUGAUUGAAGAGAUUGACAAUGCAUAUAUCCAACAACUGGAAACAACACAAAUGUCCCUCAAUAGGAGAAUGGAUAAAUAAAUUGUAGUGCAUUGAUACAAGGGGAUACUAGACAACAAUAAAAAUUAUGAACUACUGACACAUGGAACAAGAUAGAUGAAUCUCAUAGGCACUUUAUUGAGAGAAAGAAGACAAAAGAGUACAUACUGAGUAACUCAAUUGUUAAAAUUUUAAGAACAUAGGUAAAACUAAUUUACGGCAGUCGACAGUCAUCUUUUAGUGACUUAACUGGGAAGGGACACAGCAGAAUGUUAUGAAAAACUGUGGAUGUUUGUUUUUUGAAUCUCAACCUGGGGGGCAUGAUACAGAAGGUAUAUACAAGGAUAAUCCUUAGAGAAGAUGGCUGGAGCCAUCAGCAACCGACACACCCAGCCACUGGGGGAAAUGAGCAUCUUAGUCCUGGGAGGGAUAUCUGGGCACAGUCUCAGCAUCCACUACACCCUACACUGCGUGAUCUAAUGUGGAACUCGGGGCUGAGACGUACUGGUCUAAAUCAGUGAUUCUCAAAGGGCGGUCCCUGACAAGCAGCAUCAGCACCAUCUGAGAACUUGUUAGAAAUGCAAAUUAUUGACCCUCUAAUGAAUUGGAAACCCUGGGUUGAGCCUAGCAAUCGGCUUUCGCAAGCCCUCCAGGUGAUUUCAAUACGAACUAACAUUUGAGAACAACUGGUCCAAAGGGGUUUCACUUGAGAUCAAGAGGGGAUUUUCUUUUUCUUUUUCUUUUUCUUUUUUUUUUUUUUUUGAGAAAUGGAAGGAAUCCUGGCAAUGUCACAAAGCAUGUCAAAUAUAACAUGAACAGAGAAUGCAGUUUGGAGAAAAGUGAACGAGAAAACUGUUCAGCAAAUGGGACUAAUUACUAGAUCUUAUUUAAAAUUUUUUUCUCUUAAUCCAAUAGACCAUAUGGAAAUCAUGUAGAUUCUUAAACAGCCUGGCAGAGGAGCAAGGUAAAACACAGGGAAGAGAAUCUCUAUACAGUGAAAAUUCUAAUAGGAGACAUUUGAAAUCAUCUUUGUGAAAAGUAAGGGGGAUAAAAAGUAUGAGUGUUAACAGUAAAAAUGGGAAGGAAAAAAUGACUCUGAGAGACUCCACAAUGAUUUGCAUCAGAAUUUGAAUCUCCAGUGGGGUGAGGAAGCAAAGGUUACUAUAAAGUAUUUUUGUUUUUACAUUAAAAAUAGAGUCAGGGUUUUGCUAUGUUGCCCAGGAUGGUCUCAAAUUCCUAGGCUCAAGUGAUUCUCCCACUUCUGCGUCCCAAAGUGCUGGGAUUACUGGCAUGAGCUACCAUGCCUGGCCACUACAAAGUUUUGAGAUUUUCAUCAUUAGGACAAUAGGAGUCGCCAACACAAAUGGGGAAGUCAGGAAGAGAAUCCAUACUGAAAGGAACAUGAAUUUUGUCUUCUGUUUUGGAAAGUAAGCCUAUUACAUCCAGGUGGAGCUGUUUUAUAAACAGCUAGAAAUGUAGGACAGGCAGAGUGCAGUGGUUUAUGCCUGUAAUCCCAACACCUUGGGAGGCUGAGGCAGGAGGAUGGUUUGAGCCCAGGAGUUCAAGACCAGGCAGGGCAGCAUAUGAAAAAAUGUCUUACAUGUUGACAGAAAUGUGUUUGGUAGAAGUCAAGCAAAAUCAGGCAUAAGAAAGCAUCAUUGAAUGAUGAUAAAAAUGAGGUCCGAAGUGAUCUUAUUGCAUGUUUUGGUCCAUGUAAACUGAAUCCUACCCAUUUCUCCAACAUGUAACACUCCUAUGACUAGUCACCUUUCCACUUAUACAGUAAGCCACUCAGGAAAGUGACUUGGAUCUGUUAGAGUGGAAUCCAGAAUGUGACCCAUUUCUUCCCUUCGCAUUUCUUUCCCUCUUUCUGCCUCCUAUCCCCAUCAUUUGUCUGGCUCAUUUCACCCAUCAGGCCUCAGCUCAACUGGCACUCCUCAGAAAGACUUUCUGUGGCUACUCUCAGGGUCCCCUCUAGUUACCUGUUUAUUUCUCCCACAGUACUUUUAGAGCAAACCCUUCUUAAAAAUAAACUCUAAAAUACAACUGAGGGCUCUUUUUUUCAGAUGCUUCACUAGCAAUUCAUGUUACUCAUCAUCUUGCUUCCAAUGUUCCACCACAUCUGUUCCUGCCUCUUGGAUUUGGGUACAGACACCUUUCCCAGGGCUUGGAAGUGGCUUUCUAAGAUUUACGUUGAUCAACCUAGGGUUAAAACCCUUUCAGGCUGCUGGCACUUCUGCUUGCGCUAGUGUGAGGGCUUAUCUCACCACUGAAGUGCUGGUUCUCCUGCAGUUGCACUUGCUGGGUCCAGUUUCCCUUUUCUGUAAGCCACAGAGGGUGGGGAAAAGAGCUCUGCCUUUUCCUGUUUCUAUUCACUCUUCUUUCCCCUCUACUCCCUCAGUGUGCCACACCCCAGGCUCCUAGCCUUCUCCAACCCAGCCGAAGGAAGCCUCAGAAGACCUUUCUCAUCUCCCAGUAGGCCCUGGACACUCACAAAUACAAUUCUGAAUUAGCAGUCAAAAAUACGCAUAUAAGUUUUGUUUACAUAGAAUCUCAACUCUCUCAAAAUCCCCUGUUUACCUCACAACUGGAUUUUACAUGUAUCAACAAGCACAGCAAAAUGCAAGAUAAUUUUUAUGAAAUGUAAACCUCUCUGUGACUUCUAAGGGGAGAAACGUAGUCUUUUGUUCCCAUCUCAGAUCUGCCAGAGUUGCCUACUUAGUUUGAAUACAAAUUUGAGUUACAAUAAAUUAUCCUGAGCCAUUCCAGGCUAACCACUAUUUCGGUUUCCAGAUCAGUCCCCAUUAAACAUCAAAAUUGCAAGAUAUGUCACCUCAGUGGAGCCACUGCCUUGAUUUGCAAUGUUUAAUCUGGCACCAAUACAGGUUUCUUGACUUCUUAAUAUACUCUUUCUUAUUUUUUCACUAAAAUUAACAAAAAUGAAUUUAGUAUUUUGCUUAAGUAGGAAAUUGAAACAUUCCAAGCGUUACACAUCUUAAAUUAUGUAAGUAUGCAAGUAUUUUUUUUCUGCUUUCUUUCAUACGCAUUACCACCUCUGCAGGAGAAGUAAAAGUGAAACCCAGCCAGGCGAGGUGGCUCACUCCUGUAAUCCCAGCACUUUGGGAGGCUGAGGUGGGCACAUCAUGAGGUCAGGAGAUCGAGACCAUCCUGGCUAACACUUUGAAACCCGGCUCUACUAAAAUUACAAAAAAAUUAACCGGGCAUGGUGGCGGGCGCCUGUAGUCCCAGCUACUCAGGAGGCUGUGGCAGGAGAAUGGCGAGAACCCAGGAGGCGGAGCUUGCAGUGAGCCGAGAUCGUGCCACCGCACUCCAGCCUGGGUGACAGAGACAGACUCCAUCUUUAAAAAAAAAAAAAAAAAAGUGAAACCCAAGAAUCCUCUAGCUGUAGGAAAGGAAUGGCUAGAGCCAAGAGAAAAUUAAACUUGACUAAAAUGUGUCAUAUAAUUUCUUAUAUUUCAUUGGGCUAUCCUUCCCUCCCAUGAGCACUGGAUUUAUUUAGGAGGCUCAUCAUCUUACAAGUUACUUUAAUACAAUUGUUCCAGAAAACGAAAGAAUUAUUAGACUUGUAUUUUGAAAAAUAAGCCUCAAACUCAGCAGUAAGAACCCAAAUACCGCAACAAUUAAAAAACGAGCCAAAGGCCAGAUGCAGUAGCUCAUGCCUGUGAUCCCAGCCUUUAAGAGGGAGGACUGCUUGAGACCUGGAGUUUGAGGUCAGCCUGGGAAACAUAGCGAGACCCCAUCUCUACAAAAAAUAAAAAAUUAGUCUAAUGUGGUAGCACAUGCCUGUAGUCCUAGCUACUCAGGAAGCUUAGGCAGGAGGAUCAUUUGAGCCCAGGAGUUUAAGGCUCCAGUGAACUAUGAUUGUGCCACUUGCACUCUAGCCUGGGUGACAGAGUGAGACCUCACCUCUUAAAAAAUAAAGAACCAAAGACCUUAAAAGACACAUCACCAAAGAAGACAUACAGAUGACAAAUAAGCAUAUGAAAAGAUGCUCCAUAUCAUAUGAGAAAUGCAAGUUAAAACAACAAGAAUCCAGAACACUGACAACAUCAAAUACUGGUGAGGAUGUAGAGCUACAGGAACUCUUACUCAUUGCUGGUAGGAAUGCGAAUUGGUACAGCCACUUUGGAAGAGAGUUUGCCAGUUUCUUAUAAAAUUAAACAUAUUGUUACCAUGUGAUCCGGUAACCACACUCCUUGAUAUUUACUCAAAGAAGCUGAAAACAUGCCUACACAAAAAUCUGCACACAGAUGUUUAUAGCAGCUUUACUCAUAAUUGCCAAAACUUGGGAGCAACCAAGAUACCCCCAGUAGGUGAAUGGAUAAAUAAACUGUGGUACAUCCAGACAAUGGAAUAUGAUUCAGUGCUAAGAGAAUGAGAUAUCAAGCCAUGAAAAGACAUAGAGGAAACUUACAUAAAUAUUACUAAGUAAAAUAAGGCAGUUUGAAAAGGCUACACACUGUAUAAUUUCAACUAUAUGCCAUUCUAGUGAAGGUAAAACUUGAAGACAGAAAAAAAAAAAAUAAUCAGUGCUUGCCAGAGAUAAGUGGGAGGAAGGGAUAGAUAGGUAGAGCACAGAGGAUUUUUAGGGUUCCUGUUGCUCUACUCUGUAUGAUACUAUAGUGAUAGACAUAUAUCAUUAUGCAUUUGUCCAUUUGUAUAAUGGGUGAACCGUCAUGUAAACUGUGGAUUCUAGUGAUAAUGAUGUGUACAUGUAGGUUCAUCAUUUGUGACAAAUGUACCACUCUAGUGGGGAUGUUGAUAAUGGAAGAGUCUAUGUAUGUGUGGGGGCGGAAGAUAUAUGGAAAAUAUAUCAUCUAUUCAAUUUUUCUAUGAACCUAAAACUAUUCUAAAAUAUAAAGUCUAUUUUUUAAAAUAUGCUUCUGUGUUUUAGAAACAAGGACUGUAGAAUUAUUAAUGUUUUCCAAGAUGAAAAUCACUGUAAUCACUUAUCAAUGAAAGGAAAAUGUUACAUAUUAUCAAUUGGAUUCUAAUAAACAGAAUAUAAUUUAUUUGAAGAAGCACAGAAUUGAUUUAUCUCCAGAGAUGAGUUUAGCUUUCAGAUCAUCAGAGAUACAGAUUACCAACAAUUAAAUACUAUGCUAUAGCAUGGUAGUUUCCAAGCUUCUAAAGUAUAAAAACAUAUUUUCAAUAUCAAAAAUAUUUUCAGAAUGUCACUUCAUAAGUACCAUGUAUUAAUCAUUUAAUAAGAAAAAUGGCACCUAAGAGUAGACUAUGAGGCCAUAUGGAAUGAGAUCUUUGCCCAGCAGAGAUGACAGGUACUAACUCUACCAAUCAGAUUCUCCUUAUUGCAAGUUUGAAAUGGAGACACAGAAAGUCAUGAACCAGCAGGGAGCCUGAGGGAGCAAAACCCUUGAGUAACCAAGAAGCCUCUCGAAUGAACAGGAGACCAGUUGAGUGUUACUUACCUCCCUCCAACCACAUUUCAUCUGGUUCAUCUUUUUUAUUUAUUUUUGCUUUUCCAGACAAAUAAGAAGGGGCUGGGCAGAGGGAAGUAGAAGUAAGUUAAUUAAUUUAUAGCUUUGGAAGGGGCAGCAGCAGGGCCAGGAAGGAGUUGAGUCAUGUUAAUGGCUCAGCAGAAUAGGGACUGCCGGGGUGAACAGAUAACCUAGAGCUGCCUUGAGCCUGUCUGGAAUGAUCUUGCCAGUCCAGAAGGAGUCUGUUCUCCAGGAAGCUCAGGCACAAUUAGGUUCCUAUUUUCCUGCUCAGAGAUGAAGGAGUUCCUGUUCUUGAUACCUCAUCACCUGACUGAGACCCCCCCAUCUUCCUUAAUUCCCCCAUUUCCUUGUAAUAAAUACUUCAGAAUUGAGGUAACUUGAGUUUAUCAUUGUUCUUUAUAACUAAAAAUUAUAGCUAGCACAGAAAUUAAAUUUAUUUUGUCAUAAUGAAUAUUUGUCAACCUUGAAGACAAACAAAAAUAUACUUAGCAUUGUGCAUUAUUUUUCUUGCUCCUCCUACUUUUUAUAUUUUUAAAAGGAAAGCAGAAGGCAGUCUUUUAGGUGAUAAGCAAUUGUAAAAUAAAGAAAACCUACCUUCUGUUUUAAUCACUGGUACAGUAAAUGUAUUCUUUCUCAAUGGGAUAUAGUUACCUAUAAAUGAGGCUCUUUUAGGAGUUUAGAAUACUUUCCCUUAAAGUUCCAAAUGUUUGUAGUGUAAAUAACCAGUUUCACUGAUGUUUAGAAGGGAAGGUAGAGGCCGGGUGCGGUGGCUCUCGCCUGUAAUCCCAGCACUUUGGGAGGCCGAGGCAGGCGGAUCACGAGGUCAGGAGAUCGAGACCAUCCUGGCUAACAUGGUGAAACCCUGUCUCUACUAAAAAUACAAAAAAUUAGUCAGACGUGGUGGCGGGCACCUGUAGUCCCAGCUACUUGGGAGGUUGAGGCAGGAGAAUGGCGUGAACCUGGGAGAUGGAGGUUGCAGUGAGCCGAGGUCACGCCACUGUACUCCAGCCUGGGCGAUAAAGCGAGACUCUGUCUCAAAAAAAAAAAAAAAAAAAGAAGGGAAGGUAGAGAGGAAUGUUAUGAUUCACAAGCAUCAUGAAUGGUUCUCUUCAAAACUUCAUUUGGAUAAAAAUUUGGCCUAAUUUUCCCUCACUAAACCCUCUAGAAAUAAUUUUUUUGGCCAGGUGCGGUGGCUCACGCCUGUAAUCCCAGCAUUUUGAGGCCAAAGUGGGCGGAUCAACUGAGGUCAGGAGUUGGAGACCAGCCUGGCCAACAUGGCAAAACACCAUCUCUACUAAAAAUACAAAGCUUAGCAGGCAUGGUGGCACACACCUAUAAUCCCAGUUACUCGGGAGGCUGAGGCAGGAGAAUCACUUGAACCCGGGAGGUGGAGGUUGCUGUGAGCUGAGAUCGUGCCACUGCACUCCAGCCUGGGAGACUCCAUCUCAAAAAAAAAAAUUUUUUUUUAAGUUAACAAGCACACAAAAAAAGUGGAAAAAAGGGAAAGAGACAAGAGCACCCGAAAUGUUGAGGCCAGAAAGCAGAUGGAGGGUUGUAGCCAACUUGGAGACCUCAAAAAGCCAAAUCCUAAUCUGGUGAUGGUGAAAGCCAAGAAGCAGCCUGAUUUGUAACCACAGAAUCCUCAAAGGUCCAUGACAUGAUAGCACCAAGCACCUCUGGAAAUGGUGGUGAAGUGGGGCCCCAAAUCAGGAGGUCCAGAUGAAGGCUGCUUGAGAAGCCAGUAGCUUCCCAGGUCUCCCCCAUCUCCUCUGUGCUGCUGAGCAACUUGUCGCUUCUGCACCUGGGCUGGAGUGUGGAAGCAACUUGUCCCUUCCCACCUGGGCUGAGGUGAAGUGUAUUCUUUGGAGAGGGCAAAAUAAAUGGAUUCUGGACUGGUGGAUACCGAACAUAGUUGAGGAUUAAAAUCUUAUACCAAAAACAGGAUUUAAGGGAACAUGUGGAUACUGGAUGCUGAGACAGCUUUCCCUCUUUCUCUACUUGGCUUCUAAAAUAUUCCUAGCCAGGACUUUCAGAUCAGGAGAGUCUUCUAUGCUAUACAAUUUCUGACCAAAGCAAGGUGAGAAUCAUAAAGUGGCCCAUUCAUACCAUCUUAAGGUAAAAUUCAACUAUUUAAUCAAGCACUCAUAAGCAUGAGUCAAUAACAAAUAACAGGAAAAACUCAGUAGUAGCGUUAGUCAGGACCAUUACUCAAAAAGUAGGACCAAAAAAAAAAUACAUUAAACAUAAGAAUGAAAAACAUUUUUUUAAAUUAGAGCACCAAUCCAGGAGAAAGAAUAUUCAAACAACUGGAGUUGCAGGGUAGAAAAAAAAACGGGGAAAGAGGAAGAAUGCAAGUUAUCAAUGAAAUAAUUGAAGAAAUAAUUUAAGAAAUUUUUUCAAAACAGAAAAACAUGAUUUUCCAGAAUGGAAGGACCCAUAGGUCUCUGAUAUUGUGAUGUGUGGUAAUAAGAAAUGUAUAUUCUGUCUUCACCCCCUAGUUCCUGGCACAGAGCUUCUAAAACCCUUGGAAUUUCCUCAGUGAUAGGGGUGAAAGAUUUUUUUUCAUAAUUUCAUUUGUAAUAAGUUCCUUUCAACCACACCUGAGUUUAUGUUAAGUCGGUACCUCUGGGAGGAUGGGGCUGGUGGUCAAAGGAACCAACAACCAUGUGGCUAGAGGGUCAGAACUUUCAGCCCCACUUCCAGGGAGGGAAAAGGGGCUGGAGAUUGAGUCAAUCAGCAAUGGCCAACGAACACAUGGAGGUGCUGGAAGGGUGAUAUGCCCAGAGAGGGCAUGAAAGCCCUACACCCCUUCGCACAUAUCUUCCCUAUACGUCUCUUCCAUUUGGCUUUUCCUGACAGGAACUUACCAAAAAAAUUCUAGAGACAAUGAAGCAGCCUUCAAAAUUCUGAACGAAAGUUAAUUCCAAUCUAGGAUUCUAUGCCCAUCCAAACUAUCAGCGAAACAUAAGGGUCAAAUAAAGACGUUUUCAGAUAUGUACAGUUACAAAAAUUGACCUCCUGGAUAUUUUUUCUCAGGAAACUUUUGGGCAAUGUAUUCUAUAAACAUGAGUAGACCAAGAGAGUAGAAGUCACUGGGUGCUGAAAAUAAAUAGGAAAUCUCAAGCGGAUUUAACACAGGAUGCUAAAGGAAUUUCCAAGAGAAUGAGAGAGGGAGACACCAGAUGACACCUAUGCACCUAGCAAAGAAGGGAACACAUCCAGAAAAAAUACUUGUCCAGGUGUGUGGCUCACACCUGUAUUCCCAGCACUUUGUGAGUCUGAAGUGGGAGGAUGGUUUGAGGCUAGGAGUUCAAGACCAGGCCGGGCAACACAGUGAGACCCCAUCUCUAUAAAAAAUUUUUAAAAAUUAGCCAGACAUGGUGGUGCACGCCUGUAGUCCUAGGUAUUUGGGCGUCUGAGCAGGGAGGAUCACUUGAGCCCAGGAGUUCAAGGACGUAAUGAGCUAUAAUCACGCCACUGUACUCUAGCCUGGGCAACAGAGUAAGACCAUGUAUCCAAAGGAAAAAAAUGAACUGGAGGGAGGCUAAAGCAGAGGCCACUUCCUAAAAUUGUUCCCCUUUUAUAAUAGGUCUAUGAUUCUGUCCUACUUUCAAGCUAGUAAGUUAGCUUGCUUUAGUUUCAUGGAUGCUAGCAGAAAACGUAAGACCCCAGAUUCAAAGACAAAGGAUUUUAUUACUUGUGGCACAUCAAGCAUCAAGAGCAUCAGCAUUAUUUGCAUUAGUUUCUCUCAUUCCCAUGCCUCAUGGGGCAACACAGAUGGCUCCAGAUGGAAGCCUGCACACACAAUAAGGUGCAUUACAGAAGAGAAUCAUUGAGCUUAGGGAGCCCCUGUUUCUUAUAUGGGCAGUAAGCAUCCUCGUGCUUUGCUCUCAAGGGUGAUGCUAUCUUCCAAUGCUGUUUGCUAUGCAAAGUUCCUUUAAAAACGUAGUCCAGAGCAAAGGGUGAUCAGUCUGCUUGAAAGUUGUGCAGGAAUGUGAAAGACCUAUUGAGAAUUCUCUCCCCAACCUACGUACUCAAAUGACCUUGUACAUUUCUUUCACUGUACUUAUCACAAUUGCAAUUGCAUAGUUAUUUGAGCGAUUGUUUACUAUUUGUUUCUCCUCUAAAUCAUAAGCUCUAUGAAGGUAGGGACCAUGUCUGUUUUGUUCAUUGCUACAUCUCCAAUGACUGGCAGAGUGCAGAUAUAUAGUAGAAGCACAAUAAAUGUUUUUUGAAGAACUACUCAUGGAUCACCAAACUUGAGUACACUAGAUAUACAAAUGAAAGAUGAGCAACAGGCUACAGAUGUCACGAGGCAUAAUGUACUUUAAUGGUAUUCCUUUUUUUUUUUUUUUUUUUUUUUUGAGACAGAGUCUCGCUCUGUCGCCCAGGCUGGAGUGCAGUGGGGCGAUCUCUGCUCACUGCAAGCUCCGCCUCCCGGAUUCACUCCAUUCUCCUGCCUCAGCCUCUCCGAGUAGCUGAAACUACAGGCGCCCGCAACCACUCCUUGAUAUUUCUUUACAUUUAUCUGGCACUUAUUUUACAAAGCACUUUUCAUGCAUUAUUUCAUGGAAGCUUCACAAUAAAACUCUGAAUUGGAUGAAGAGGUUAAGAGACUUGUCCAAGAUCACUGGACUUUUUACGUGUGAAAAAAACAAAGAAAGAAAGAAAAAAAACAGGCCUGAAAUCUGGCCAUUUUAAGCCCCAAUACUUUGUCCUCUAUUUUUUUAGUGAUAGUGUCUCUGUCACCCAGGCUGGAGUGCAGUGGCACAAUCAUAGCUCACUGUAACCUCAAAUUCCUGGCUCAAGCAAUUCUUUCAAAUAACUAGGACUACAAGCACAUGCUACCAUGUGUGGCUAAUUAUUUUUAAUUUUUUUAGAGACAAAGUCUCACUAUGUUGCCCAGGCUGGUCUCAAAUUCCUGUCCUCAAGCAAUCCUCCAACCUCAGUCUCCCAAAGCACUGGGAUAAAGACACAAGUCUCUGUACUUGUCCUUUGUUCUUCUAUUUCAUAAGACAUUAUUACCUAUGACAAUUACAAAGUAGAAUAAUGUCAAAAGCAGAACUAGGGGAAAUAUUUUCAAUGCUUACUUUAAAUGAAAGUUUAAACAUCUGUGAAAAUAUUUCAUUUAUUUAUUACAGUUAUCACAGUGAAGAUGAAAGAGUAGAAUUCAGUUUUCAUCAUUCUAUGAAUUAAAAAUAGCAAUGCUUUAUGUAUUUAUAAAGCAUAAAAUAUACAUCACUUUAUUCUCGCAAAAUGCAAUGAGCUAGAUAUUACACAUCUUUCACUUAACAGAUGAUGAAAUUGAGGCUCAGAAUGCUUUAGCUAGUAGGCAGAAAUCACACAGCUAAUUCUCCCAUGAGUUAAAAUAUAGAUAUGUGAGGCUGAAAGUAUGAUGCCUUCUCAUAAAAGGAAAUUACUUUCCCAAGAGGCAGAUGUUCCUUUCUUCAAUAUCUCCCAAAACCCAAACAUAAUAGAAUACACUCAGUGUAUUCUAAUAUGUUCUACUAUUCAUUAAUCUCUUAUUUUGUCUUACUAUGAUAAAUAUUGUGAAAUUAAGAAACCGUUUUCUAAAAUAAGCCACUCAUCUAAGAAGUGAUUGAAAGCCGUUACAUGUACACUUAUCUUUAGAAUUAGAUUUUCUCUGGAAGUAUUAAGAAUUUGAUUAAAAAUAAAUAUUACUAGUUUAACAUUGUAAUGUGCCUCCAACUCAUACUUCAGUCAUCAGAUAGUCACUGUAGCAAAUUAAGAAAUACAUAAUACAAGUAUAAUUUUAAAGUUUCCAUUUCUUCCUUCUAUUCCUUGUUUCAAUAUGUUUCACUUCUAAUUUCAUAUAUAUAAAUGAAACAUUUCUCAUUUGUGCCAUUUAUUUUGCACUUAUAAAUUGCUUUGUAGGGUUAUCUUUUUACACAUUGAUUUCUAGCCUUUCACAACCAGAAUGUAAGCUACUUUAGGAGAUGGAUCAUGUCCUAUAGUUUAAGACUUUCUCUCCUGUCUGGGCCCAGUAGAUCAUUGUAAUCCCAGCAAUUUGGGAGGCCAAGGUGGGAGGAUCACUUGAGGCUGGAAGUUCAAGGCCAGCUUGGGCCCCAUAGUGAGGCCUCAUCUCUACAAAAAUUUUAAAAAUUAGCUGGACAUGAUGGUACCUUCCUGUAGUACUAGCUACUAAGGAGACUGAGGUGAGAGGAUCACUUGAGCCUAGGAACCCAGAAGUUUGAGGUUGCAGUGAGCUAUGAUUAUGCCACUACACUACAGUCUGGGUGACAGAGCAAGGCCCUGUCUCUAGAAACCACAAUCACAACAACAAAAACAACUUCCUCCACUCCACCUCUCUGCUUUGCACCUUGUCAAGCUCAAUUCAGGUGAGUUCCUGGCUUUGCUCUCUUUAUUCCUCUCCCCGUUUAAAGUCACCUGAAAAAUUAGCCAUACUCUGUUCCCAGGGUUAACCUAACUAAAGCAAGAGUAGAUUACCACCCUUCAAAAUCAGCAUUUUGGACCUUAUCCUCAAAGACAGGCCAGCCCUGAUGACCUGGCACCAAGGUUAACAACUGGCCUCCCACCUCCAGUCUGGAGCCCAACGUGGCCUCACGUGUAUGACAUGCCUUCUGUUCCAUUGCUGUUCCCAUAUUGCUAAUCUGGGAAUUUUUCAUGAUGUUUUAGUCAUUCCCAGGAAAGAGGGAAAAGGCAAACAAAGUUGAGACUUGCUUUCUCCCCCAGGAAGAUCUGGAAUGUAAAUUACACCUCAGAGUUUUCCUGACCCGAAGCAAGGGAGCUGGGUCUUUUUACUCCAUCAUCUGGCAGUCAUUGGUUAAGAGCUGCGCCAGGUGACCUAAAAUCCCAGCUCUGUGCUUACUGGCAAAGCAGCCCCAGACGCACAAGAGCAGUCCUCCGAAGAAUAAAUACAGGUACUGUGAAGCAGAGGGAAAAAAGCACUGAAGCACAGAAAUAGUGAAAGUGAUCCCAGCAGAUCUGGUCAAAGCACUUAUGGUGUCUGCUGCAGCUCUAUCCAUCAGAAGAAGACCACAAAAACCUGGGCCCCCACAACACAGCCUGGGACAACUGCUGGGGAUGGCCAGAGCCUACUGCAAUAGAAGCAGCUAAUCCCACAAGGAGAAGAUGAGGUGAUAUGAGCACAGAGCCCUGUGUCCCAGGAGAGGAGCAUCAGGACAGAUUUUAGAGCUGUAACAAUGGGAGAGGUCUGAUGAAAGAAAACUCAGAGAUGAUAAAGGCCAAUGUCAAAGGACAGAAAAGGACAGCAGUGUGAGCAAUUUUGAAUGCAAAUGAAUCACUGUGGCAUCCCCAAACAGCCAAAAGGAAGGCAUUUGUGUGGGUGCUCCUGCAAUUCCUUGGGCUUGACCUGAGUUAGAGAAAUAUAAUUGUAUUGGAGGUUGGUGUGGCUUGGGGAAAGAUAAACCACAAACUUCAUUUUCUGCUACACUGCUAUUCUGCUAUUACUGAGUCCAAAUAAAAGUUAAAAGUAUUGUCAGACAUUAAAGGUAAAAAAAGUAAAGAUACUGGAUCUGUCUUUUCACUCCCUACCAGCAAAUCUAUGCAUUGUGUUGCUUCAUCUUUCCAGGUCAAGAGUCUGACUUAUCUUUUCAUUUAUGCCCCACAAUUUACACUGCCAUAUAGGGAGAUUUUUAAAAAGACAGUAAUUAGUCUAAAGAUCUCUAUCCAUGUUGUUUACAAAAAUAUGCAAAAAAAUUCCUUUCUUUCUUUCUUUCUCUUUCUUUCUUUCUUUCUUUCUUUCCUUCCU